UACGUAGGGGGCUAGCGUUGUCCGGAAUCAUUGGGCGUAAAGCGCGCGUAGGCGGCCCGGUAAGUCCGUUGUGAAAGUCAAAGGCUCAACCUUUGAAAGCCGAUGGAUACUGCCGGGCUGGAGUCCGGAAGAGGCGAGUGGAAUUCCAGGUGUAGCGGUGGAAUGCGCAGAUAUCAGGAGGAACACCAAUAGCGAAGGCAGCUCGCUGGGACGGUACUGACGCUGAGGCGCGAAAGCGUGGGGAGCGAACAGG
rnacentral:rRNA from 1 species